AACAGAAAUUUUAAAAUUGGAACUCAUAUUAGAUCCAUUCGAAUUCCCGCUUGUGUACGCGCAACACGUACUACUGCAAAUUAAACUAUUAAAAUCUAAUUACUGUCAGCUCAUUUUCACCGCUACACUAAAACUUUCAAUUGUGAUUGUGGAGUGCUCGCAUCUCAUUCGCCGCCGAAAAACCGUCUAGGAAUUCUGCCGCUGAAGAGAACAAGGACUUGGAAUACAACAGGAGGAAAUCACCGGACUUCCGCCCCCCACUGGGUAUAGAGGGCGGGGCAUGUCGAAGUUGAACCGACGAAAACCUCCUGUCGCUCAACAACCAGCAUCCAAACCUCGCAUGAGACAGAACUCAUGAAAAGGCAAAGAGGGGAAAGUGAAGCGUUUAGUGCGGAGCACAUCUCUUCCAUCACCCUUCCCCUCGGGACACCGGACCGGCGGUCGUCGACGCCACGACCACCAGCCCUCUCGGGAAACAAAUAGACCUAAGCAGAUAAGUAGUGUUCCUUCACCAUUCUUUUAAAGCAAUUUAAAGUUGGAGCACUUCUCACUGCAUCCGGCAGAGCAUUCCACAAUUGAACCGCCUGGACGGUGAAUGAAUUAUCAAAGAAUGAUGAUGAAUGCGCCGGCAUUUUUAGUCUCAGGCUAUCCGAUGAUCUCAGGGAAAAAUUGUGCGUAUCACCUAGGAACUCGAAACGUUCUUUGAGAUAUGGGUAUGGGGAUUAAAGAGAGUGCAAUAUAGUAAUUAAUGAAAGGACAUGAAUAUUGCGUAGAAGGCAAAUAGGUAACCACUUGAGUUUAGUGCGAAAAUCAGAUACAUCAUCAUAUUUCCGUAAACCAAAUAUGAAUCUUAUGCAGAAAUUUUGUAGCCGCUCAAGUUUAUCAAGCUGUGUUUCAGUUAAAUCAGUAUAACUGGCAUCGGCGUAGUCAAGAAUUGGAAGAAGGAGAGAUUGUGCAAGCGCAGUUUUAGUGGCAGUUGGAAGAAAAUUUCGUAACCGUCUCAAAGAUCCAGCUGAUGCAAACACCUUCCGGCUAACCUCUUUUAUCUGUGCGUUCCAUGAAAGGUUUUUAUCAAUUAAGAUUCCUAAAUGUUUCACAGUAUCACUGAUAGGAAUUUGUACGCCAUCGAAUAAAAUAGCCGGAAGCUGCGACCAUCUCACUUUCGAGCACAUUCUUGAACUACCGACAACAAUGACCUGUGUCUUCGACGGGUUCACCCUCAAUCCAUGCGAAUUACUCCAAUGGGAUAAUAUUGAUAAAUCAUUAUUCAGCGUCUUCAUCGCGUUGGUCAGUUCUGAUAAAGAAGUUAGAUCUGUAGAUCAUCUGCGCACACAUGGUAGGAAGAAGUAAGUUGCAUAGAAAUAUUAUAGAAUUUAUAAAAAUUGAAAA